GAUCUCCUCCAGUGUGUCCAAACAGCAACGUCUCAACUUGAUUUCUAAGUUGCAGGGAAUGAAACCUGGCAAGGAGGGCCGGUGGCGAGCGAAAGACGGUGCAGUGUAGACUGUGCCGCACUCUUUGUUUUUUCCAAAAAAUACAGCAAAGGGGGAGAAGCAGGUCCAUAUAUCCUUGCUCCUGGUCUGUGGGUCAUAUCUGGACUGUUCCAGACAGCAUCCUCGGUCGAUGUCGGCAUUACAGAGGAACAAGCUGGGAACUUCCAGACAGUGAUCCAAAAGCAGUCCAGACCUGCACAGGAAGAUGACCUCAGAGGGGAGAUCGGACACCUUUACAUCGGCUCCUCUGCAGUGGUUUUUAGUGCUCUUUCUGCAAACCUCAGUGAGCCACAGCGGCGCAGGCCGCUGCCUGGUUUGAACUCAAAAGAAAAUAGAAUAUUUCCAAAACUUGGAUGACCAAUGAAAAGUGAGAAUGAAGACGGCGAGUCAGAGAAGAAGAACCAUGGAAAGUACAACCCGA
ensembl:lncRNA